UUGAAAGGGAAACGAUUGAAGUCAGUCAUGCUAGUGAAAAAUCAGUUUGACGGGUUUUGAGUUCUUGAGUAGAGGCAGGGUCAAACCGUUUCUCUUUUGGACUUGGGAUUUGCUAGAUGUACUUUUUCUUUGGCAGGUCAACGUCGGUUUCGGGGGUUGUAAAAUACUUGGGGGAAAGUAGCUCUGCUUCGGGAGAGUGUUAUAGACCCUGGGAGAUGCAGCCUGUGGGAUCGAGGAUUGCAGCAAAUGCCUUUUGGCUUGUCGCCUGUUCCUGGGUGUUACCUGUCUUGUGACAACAUUCUUGCCACCGGGGAGUACUAAUGCCUACUGUUUAGAGCGAUCGAAAAUUUCGUUAAGGAUGUUGACGUA
rnacentral:rRNA from 1 species